rnacentral:lncRNA from 1 species
AGGCAUGGAAGUGUUCGCCAGACAGAGGGGUCCUGCCCUUGCUGAUCUGAGCUGGUUCUGUGUUAGAGACUCCGUGGGCGUCUGUUUGACAGGAUCUGCCAGGAGCUGAAGAAUAACUUUCCUGAUCUGGAAGAGCAAAUCUCAGAUAUUUUGCACAUUUGCAGAACCUACCCCUAGGAGUGGGAGAAGACCACAACCAAAGAAGCAAAUGGACACACGGACUAUCAGAUGAAAGGCAGCUACACAGGAAAAUAAAGCAGUGCAGCAGGAUUGGAGGUGCUUGUGGUGAGAGGAGGUAGGGAGUUGCUUUUUACAUGGGGAGAUCAGGGAAGGCCUCAGUAAGGAGGUGAUAUUUGAAUAGAGAGAGACCUGGGAGAGGAAAGAGAGUGAGCCCUGUUGAUAUAUAAGGGUAGAAUGACUCUGGCAGAGCGGUUAGUGCAAAGGUCUUGUGGCAGAAAACACCCUUUUGGACUUCCAUUGUGAAUGUCUUGGGACACUUGAUGGUGUCCCACAGGUCUCUGAGGCUUUGUUUGUUUAUUUAUUUAUUUAGAGACAGGGUCUUGCUCUGUUGCCCAGGCUGGAGUGCAGUGGUGCAAUCAUGGUUCACUGCAGCCUCAAACUCUUGGGAUCAAGUGAUCCUCCCACCUCAGCCUCCUGAGUAGCUGGGACCACAGUUGCACACCACCAUGCUCAGCUAAUUUCUUAUUUUUUGUAGAGAUGAGGUCUUGUUUUGUUGUCUAGGCUAGUCUCAAACUCUUGGAGUCAAGCAAUCCUCUCUCCUUGGUCUCCUAAAGUGCUGGGAUUAAAGGUAUGAGCCACUGGCCAAUAAAUCAUUUUAAAAAAUCAUUUUUUCCCUUUCUGUUAUGGACUGAAUGUUUGUGACCCAACCCCCGAAUUCAUAUGUUGAAACCCCAAUCCCUAAUGUGGUGGCAUUUGGAGGCGGGGUCUUUGGGAGGUAAUUGGGUUUGAAUGAAUCUCGAGGUGGAGCCGGUGAAGGGAUUGGUGCUUUUAUAAGGAGGUGAAGGGACCAGAGCUCUCUCUGUCAUGUGAGGAUAUGGCAAGGAAGCAGCUAUCUGCAAGCUUGGGACCAAAGCUAAGAAAAGACUAUGCUGCCACUCUGAUCUCAGACUUUGAGCCUUGAGAACUGUGAGAAAUACAGAGUUAUCGCUGAAGCCACCCUGUCUGUGGCAUUCUGUUGUAGCAGCUGGAACUGACUAAGACAGGUUCCCUUCUUCAACCUGGAUAAUCUUAGUGGACCUACCUUCAAAUCUGCUGUUGAGCCACUGGUGAAUUUUUCAUUUUGGUUACUGUACUUUUCAGCUCCAAAAUUUAUAGAUAUAUAUUUUGACAAUUUCUUAAUUUCUGUCUCUUUAUUCAUGUUCUGUAUUUGGUGAGACAUGGGUCUCGUACUUUCCUUUAUUUCUUUAGAUUGGGCUUUCUUUAAUUCUUUGAACGUACAGUUGUCCUUUGAUAUCUGCGGGGGAUUGGUUCCAGGACCCCUGGGGAUACCAAAAUCUGUAGAUGCUCAAAGUCUGUUGACUCUCCCUAUCUGUGGAUUCAACCGAUCGUGGAUUGAAAAUUGCAGUGCAGGAAUGUGGAUAGGAGGACUGACCAUACGUUAUUUGUAAUAGCUGACUUGACAUCUUUACAUAGUCAGUUCAACAUGUGGGCCUCCUUAGGGACAGUUUCUGUCUGUCUUUUUCCCCCCAUGUAUGGGCUAUAUGUCACGUAUCUUUUUAUGUCUCCUUGUUUUUGCUGUUGAAAACUGGACAUAUGACAUAACAUAAUGUGGUUACUCUGGAAAUCACAUCUCCCCAGGCUUUGUUGUUUCUGCUGUUUAUUGAAUAAUUUCCCUGGAUAAAGGGUGUAAAGUCUAUGUUCUUUGUCACAGAUGAUUACGAGGAGUUUCUGGGAACUUCCAGACAGGUUAGACAAUAACAAUCUUUAAGAGUAGGACUUUCGGGGAGUUUCACUCCCUGGCUCCCCUGUCCAGCGGCUGCCAGCUUUUUGCAUUUACAACUGCUGUGGAGCUGGGAAGAAGGAGAUGGCAACAGGGCAAGUUAAAAUGCUGCACAGCUCACAGUUCUGUCUGAGAUUCAGUCAUUUUUCUUGAAUAAAUCUCCAGGAAUUGUUGCAAGCCUUUAGUUAAUUUCCACAGUUCUGAAAAGUUGAUUUAGACAAUUUUCCAUCAUUUUCAGCCACAGCCAAUUUCACCAUUCCCUUGAAACUUGCAUUUAUUUUGCUUACAUCCAGAUUUGCAAAACUCCUUGCUCACUGUUCACUAGAUCCCGUCUUUUUUUUUUUUUUUUUUUUGAGACAGAGUCUUGCUCUGUUGCCCAGGCUGGAGUGCAAUGGCGGUAUCUCGGCUCAUUGCAACCUCCGCCCCCUGGGUUCAAGCAAUUCUCCUGCUUCAGCCUCCCGAGUAGCUGGGAUUACAGGCACCACCAC